UACGUAGGGGGCAAGCGUUGUCCGGAUUUAUUGGGCGUAAAGAGCGUGUAGGCGGCCUGGAAGGUCAGCUGUGAAAACUCGAGGCUCAACCUCGAGACGUCGGUUGAAACCACCUGGCUAGAGUCCGGAAGAGGAGAGUGGAAUUCCCGGUGUAGCGGUGAAAUGCGCAGAUAUCGGGAAGAACACCCGUGGCGAAGGCGGCUCACUGGCCCGAUACUGACGCUGAGGCACGAAAGCGUGGGGAGCAAACAGG
rnacentral:rRNA from 1 species